rnacentral:snRNA from 1 species
AGUUUUGCAGUGGCAGUGUCGUAGCCAGUGAGAUUUAUCCAAGGUGCAACUGUUGCUAAUUGAAAACUUUCCCUCUAACAAGUUUCCCAGCCAUCAAGUGUCAUGGACAGUGAGGGCUUUGGGAGUUUGGAGGCAGGAGAGCUG